AGGCAAAAUAAGUGAUAUGGAGCAAACCCUAAAAAACGGUACUCAGUUCGGAUUGAAGGCUGAAAUUCGCCUUCAUGAAGCUGGAAUUGCUAGUAAUGGCAGGUCAGCAUACUGCCGUGAAUACGUUCCCGGGCCUUGUACACACCGCCCGUCACACCAUGAGAGUUGGGAAUACCCGAAGCCUGUGAGCUAACUGUAAGGAGGCAGCAGUCGAAGGUAGAAUCAAUGAUUGGGGUAAAGUCGUAACAAGGUAUC
rnacentral:rRNA from 1 species